GGGGAGAGAGACCGAGAGGGAAAGAGACUCGUGCAUUGAGAAGUUCAAGUUGUGUCGGAAAACAGUAUUGGAUCUCCGGGACUAUAACAGCCUGCUCCAGCCUCAUCCAGGAUGCAUCUUCUAGCGAAAUACAUUCUCAUCCUCCAAAUUAUUGUCCUUUUUGCAACAACCUGCCAGACUUUGUCAUGCGUUCCUUGUGAUGAAUUGACCUGCGAGGAUCCAACGGAUUGCAAAGGGGGGCUGGUGCGCAGUAAGUGUGGCUGCUGCAAUGUGUGUGCCAAGGUGAAGGGCGAGAGUUGUGGUGGCCCCAUGCGUCUGGAAGGGAGAUGCGACGAGGGGCUGAAGUGCGUGUACCCGGAAUGGCUCCGUAUCGACUCGACCGGAGUUUGCGAGUAAAUCUGAGCUGAGGCAGGGAAUGGGAGUCAUUAUAUGGAUUCAAGAGGAGCUUAUCCAGAAUCAUCUACCCAACAUGUGCUUGGUGUGAAAUGAGUGCCAAUCAGAACGCUAUGCUUUACUGUCUUGAAUUUCCCCUUGGGGAUCAAUAAAGUAUCUAUCUAUCUA